rnacentral:snoRNA from 3 species
AUCCCAGAUGAGCUUGAACGUACUGUUAAGUGCUUAUGCUGAUUCAUGGGAGGCCGAAACUGAAUGCUGGAAGUUUCGCUGAUAAAUGCCGAUCUAUGUUUUUUAUAUCAAGGCAUUUACUAGUAACUUUACCAUACAUCU